UGGAUAUAUUCUAAAAAGCCUAAGUAAAUAUGAUAAAACGUUAUUGUAAAUCUACAGCAAUUUAAAGGUAUUAUAUCGCUAAGUGACACGUAGUCUUCUUGGCCUUAAACUAAAGAGAUGAUGAAAAUGAAAAUUUAUUUUUAACAAUGCUAUCAAUAUUUGUAAAGGUAGGAGGUAGGGUAGGCUUUAUUGCGUAAUCUUAAACAAUAUAAAUUAUCUGCACAUUAUAUCAUUUAAAAAAAGCUUUCAAACUGUGUUAUUAAAAGCUUAUUUCUGCCGAUUCAUAUACACAUUCUACAAAAGGUGCUGCACAAUCAUGGUCCAAGUAUAUUCUAAAGGUCAAAUUAUUGCCAGCUAACGUAUUAC